AGUUGCCCUAAAUUUAUUAUGAAAGGUUACAAAAUUCACAUGAUGUACACCAAAAUGAUACCAUUUAAAAAAUACACACCUAGAUAAAACAAGCCCUCACAUGGCUACAUUGAUGCAUAAACAAAAGGUAUGACUUUUGAAAUGCAGGGAUAAAUGGGGGGGGGGGGGGGGGGGGGGGUGAGAUCCUUAAAGAGGUUGUCCAUCAGAAGUAUAAAAAAAUAAAGUGCCAGUGCCCAGACAAUAACUAAAGCCAAGAGGCAUUUGUAUCAUGACAGAUAUACUGUGUAUAAAUCAGUUUUCUAAUGUGUUCAGCACAGCAUGCUCCAAUUGAUGAGAGGCCGUGUGGGUGGAGCAGCUGCAAAGUGAAAGUAAAAAUCCCAGCAUGCAUCUUCAUAGGUGAGGUCACAUGACAUCCCUGGACAACUGUGAUAUCAUGGUAACAACAGCAUCUUAGGUGUCAUUUCAUCAGUGCUUUAGGCCUCAUGCACAUGACCAUAGCCUGUCCGUGCCAGUAUUGUGGCCCAAGAACAGGGGCACUGGCCAUGUGUGCACUGUAUCAUAGAUGCAGACACAUUCAUUUGAAUGGGUCCGGAAGAUACGGUGCGGAAUGGAAGCACUACAGCAGUUUUAUGUCUGUGUCUCCGCAUGUGAAUGGGGUCGGAGCCCAUGUAUUGCAGACCACAGUGUGUGUGUGUACAUAUAUAUAUAUUUAUAUAUAUAUAUACACACACACCACAGUUCCAUGUAACUAUAUAAAAAAAAAGUACUGUACAGUAUAGGGUGCCCAGAUGUCCUGCUUUCUGGGUUGGCGUGGGGGAGAUGGACUGAGGAUCAGCUGAUUCCUGUCAGAGUUGGAGCAGGGAGCCGGCCACUGACAGGAGCAGACCGCACAUGCGCUGCUCUCACACAAUAGG